UCAACGGCGACGCGCCCGCUGCCCCAUCCCCAACCAGCAGCGCCGUCGCCACCAACCCCCCAGCCAGAGAGGAGAAGCCGCCCCGACACCAACCGGAGACGCCGCCACGCCCCAACCGGAGCCGCUGCCGCCGCCACCUGCGCUCAUCCGGCUCUGCGCCCUGCAACGCCACGCGCCGCCGUCCUUUGCAAUCGCACGUUGUUCGCGAGAUGGAUCUCGCCUCUGCCAUCGCACGGCGCGGAUGCGGCCGGCCCGGCGUGCGGCGAUUCUUGGCUGCGUUGCCAGUCCCCGUGCACGGAUCUGAGCAGAGCCGACAAGAUCCGUAGACACCAUCGCUCAUGGGCAUCUGGUCACAGCGGCCGCCGUUGUGGCCAUUGCAGGAGCUGCUUAGGGCGACGUCCUCUGGCGCGCUGCCUCCUCUUCCCACCCUCCUUCGAGCCCCCACCGUGGUGAAGUCCUACUGCAGAAAUAUGCCAAGUCCUACUACAGCAGGUCUGCCAUGGUGAAGUUGAACCCUGAGCUCUGAGGCCGGCGCCUAGCCAAACCCCCACGCCGGGCCUUGGGUCCAUAACACGGGGGGCGCUGCACCGCCAUUCAGCUGCAGCGCUGGAGCCUCCAUGGAAGGUCAGGUAAAUUUCUCGUGGCAGUAUAAACAAAAUAACAGCGACAAAUCAAUUCACUUCCUGAGUAUGAGGGUGAGUUCAGAGAUCAUGCUUCUACAGAGAAAAUGGAGUCAUGCAAGGUUCCCCUAAUCAUCCAGUCAACCAGCGAUGGUGUCCAUGACGGGCUGCAGUUAGGAAAAAGUGUUGAACCUAAAUAAUCUGCUAUGGAGGAGA